UACGUAGGGUGCGAGCGUUGUCCGGAAUUAUUGGGCGUAAAGAGCUCGUAGGCGGCUCGUCGCGUCGACCGUGAAAACCCGCGGCUUAACUGCGGGCUUGCGGUUGAUACGGGCGGGCUAGAGUUCGGUAGGGGAGACUGGAAUUCCUGGUGUAGCGGUGAAAUGCGCAGAUAUCAGGAGGAACACCGGUGGCGAAGGCGGGUCUCUGGGCAGUAACUGACGCUGAGGAGCGAAAGCGUGGGGAGCGAACAGG
rnacentral:rRNA from 1 species